rnacentral:rRNA from 1 species
UACGGAGGGUGCAAGCGUUAUCCGGAUUCACUGGGUUUAAAGGGUGCGUAGGCGGGUUGGUAAGUCAGUGGUGAAAUCUUCAAGCUUAACUUGGAACUGCCGUUGAUACUAUCAAUCUUGAAUGUUGUGGAGGUAAGCGGAAUAUGUCAUGUAGCGGUGAAAUGCUUAGAUAUGACAUAGAACACCGAUAGCGAAGGCAGCUUGCUACACAAAAUUGACG